UGGGGAAUAUUGCACAAUGGGCGCAAGCCUGAUGCAGCGACGCCGCGUGAGGGAUGACGGCCUUCGGGUUGUAAACCUCUUUCGCCAGGGACGAAGCUUUUGUGACGGUACCUGGAGAAGAAGCACCGGCCAACUACGUGCCAGCAGCCGCGGUAAUACGUAGGGUGCGAGCGUUGUCCGGAAUUACUGGGCGUAAAGAGCUCGUAGGCGGUUUGUCGCGUCGGCUGUGAAAUUCUGCAGCUUAACUGUAGGCGUGCAGGCGAUACGGGCAGACUUGAGUACUACAGGGGAGACUGGAAUUCCUGGUGUAGCGGUGAAAUGCGCAGAUAUCAGGAGGAACACCGGUGGCGAAGGCGGGUCUCUGGGUAGUAACUGACGCUGAGGAGCGAAAGCGUGGGUAGCGAACA
rnacentral:rRNA from 1 species